GACGAACGCUGGCGGCGUGCUUAACACAUGCAAGUCGAACGGAAAGGCCCUGCUUUUGUGGGGUGCUCGAGUGGCGAACGGGUGAGUAACACGUGAGUAACCUGCCCUUGACUUUGGGAUAACUUCAGGAAACUGGGGCUAAUACCGGAUAGGAGCUCCUGCUGCAUGGUGGGGGUUGGAAAGUUUCGGCGGUUGGGGAUGGACUCGCGGCUUAUCAGCUUGUUGGUGGGGUAGUGGCUUACCAAGGCUUUGACGGGUAGCCGGCCUGAGAGGGUGACCGGGCACAUUGGGCCUGAGAUACGGCCCAGACUCCUACGGGCGGCAGCAGUGGGGAAUAUUGCACAAUGGGCGGAAGCCUGAUGCAGCAACGCCGCGUGCGGGAUGACGGCCUUCGGGUUGUAAACCGCUUUCGCCUGUGACGAAGCGUGAGUGACGGUAAUGGGUAAAGAAGCACCGGCUAACUACGUG
rnacentral:rRNA from 1 species